UAAAAUAAGAAAGAAAGAGGUGGGAACAGGGAAACAACUCAAACUCAGCAGACCAAAGUACAAGCGGCAAGUUCUAACUGAGUCUCACUCUACUCCUUUGCCUCUGCUAGAACUCCAUCGUCCCCUACCAACACCGACUCCAAAUCCCCAUCAUCCAGCCCAACACCUUCAUCUCCUCUGUCUCUAUUUUGGUCAAAAUGUUCUGUCUGCUUCUAUUUUGCCCAAAAUCGAGCAAGACUUGCUAUAAUCAAAGCUGCCUGUGAGGUUUUGUUAUCUCGCUCUUCAGACUCAAGUCGGUGGCCGUAGAGAUCCCCCUUAUAUCUUCUUCACUUCUUGAGUUUCUUGAGGUGUUUUAUUUUCUAACGAUGUUUUACAAGACCUCGAAGUCAGAUAAGUCUAUCAAUUCUCUCUUUGAUUUAUAAAGUUCGAGUAGUUGUGUUGGGUGGAAAUUAUUGCGUGUUAAGAUAUG